rnacentral:rRNA from 1 species
AGAGUUUGAUCCUGGCUCAGGAUGAACGCUGGCGGCGUGCUUAACACAUGCAAGUCGAACGGAGAUCUAUUUGACAGAUACUUCGGUUGAAGUCGUUUUGAUCUUACUGGCGGACGGGUGAGUAACGCGGGGGUAACCUGCCUUGUACUGGGGGAUAACAGUCAAAAAUGACUGCUAAUACCGCAUAUGCGCACAGAACCGCAGGGUUCGGGGUGGAAAACUCCGGGGGAACAGGAUGGACCCCCGUUGGAUUAGCUAGUUGGGGAGGGAGAGGCUCACCAAGGCAACAAUCCAUACCCGGCCUGAAAGGGUGAACGGCCACUUUGGGACUGAAACACGGCCCAAACUCCUACGGGAGGCAGCAGGGGGGAAUAUUGCACAAGGGGGGAAACCCUGAUGCACCGACCCCCCGUGAAGGAAAAAGUAUCUCGGUAUGUAAACUUCUAUCAGCAGGGAAAAUAAUGACGGUACCUGACUAAAAAGCUCCGGCUAACUACGUGACAGCAGCCGCGGUAAUACGUAGGGAGCGAGCGUUAUCCGUGAUUUAUUGGGCGUAAAGCGCGCGUAGGCGGCUUGCCAAGCGGGAUCUCAGACCUGAGGGCUCACCCCCCAGCCGGAUCCCGAACUGGCAGGCUCGAGUUCGGUAGAGGAAGAUGGAAUUCCCAGUGUAGCGGUGAAAUGCGCAGAUAUUGGGAAGCACCCCGAUGGCGAAGGCAGUCUUGUGGGCCGCAACUGACGCUGAGGUGCGAAAGCUAGGGGAGCGCACAGGAUUAGACACCCUGGUAGUCCUCGCCGUAAACGAUGGGCUCGAGGUGUGGGGGAGACAUUCUUCCGUGCCGCAGCUAACGCAAUAAGUGCCCCGCCUGGGGAGUACGGUCGCAAGGCUAAAACUCAAAGGAAUUGACGGGGGCCCGCACAAGCAGCGGAGCAUGUGGUUUAAUUCGAAGCAACGCGAAGAACCUUACCUAGUCUUGACAUCCUUCUGACCGUGGAUUAAUCUCCUCUUUCCCUCCGGGCACAGAAGUCACAGGUGGUGCAUGGUUGUUGUCGGCUCGUGUUGUGAGAUGUUGGGUUAAGUCCCGCAACGAGCGCAACCCUUCUCUUUAGUUGCCAUCUUUAAGUUGGGCACUCUAGAGAGACUCCCAGGGAUAACCUGGAGGAAGGUGGGGAUGACGUCAAAUCAUCAUGCCCCUUAUGCUUAGGGCUACACACGUGCUACAAUGGGUGGUACAGAGGGCAGCCAAGCCGUGAGGUGGAGCAAAUCCCUUAAAGCCAUUCUCAGUUCGGAUUGCAGUCUGAAACUCGCCUACAUGAAGCUGGAGUUACUAGUAAUCGCAGAUCAGAAUGUUGCGGUGAAUGCGUUCCCGGGUCUUGCACUCACCGCCCGUCA